rnacentral:rRNA from 1 species
CCUACGGGAGGCAGCAGUAGGGAAUAUUGCUCAAUGGGGGAAACCCUGAAGCAGCAACGCCGCGUGGAGGAUGAAGGUUUUCGGAUUGUACACUCCUUUUGUCAGAGAAGAUAAUGACGGUAUCUAACGAAUAAGCACCGGCUAACUCCGUGCCAGCAGCCGCGGUAAUACGGAGGGUGCAAGCGUUACUCGGAAUCACUGGGCGUAAAGGGCGCGUAGGCGGGAUAGCAAGUCAGAUGUGAAAUCCUAUGGCUUAACCAUAGAACUGCAUUUGAAACUGUUAUUCUAGAGUAUGGGAGAGGUAGGUGGAAUUCUUGGUGUAGGGGUAAAAUCCGUAGAGAUCAAGAGGAAUACUCAUUGCGAAGGCGACCUGCUAGAACAUAACUGACGCUGAUGCGCGAAAGCGUGGGGAGCAAACAGGAUUAGAUACCCCUGUAGUC